CAAACGACUCUCGGCAACGGAUAUCUCGGCUCUUGCAUCGAUGAAGAACGUAGCGAAAUGCGAUACUUGGUGUGAAUUGCAGAAUCCCGUGAACCAUCGAGUCUUUGAACGCAAGUUGCGCCCGAAGCCACUAGGCCGAGGGCACGCCUGCCUGGGUGUCACAC
rnacentral:rRNA from 2 species